GCUGACACAUCCCGGCCAAUCUCCAGCAGACCCUCCCUCCCAGACCCUCCUACUUCCUGGACAGCAUCCAUGUUUUAUGGAUGCUGUCCAGGAAGUAGGAGGGUCUGGGAGGGAGGGUCUGCUGGAGAUUGGCCGGGAUGUGUCAG